AGUGAACGCUGGCGGUAGGCCUAACACAUGCAAGUCGAACGGCAGCACAGUAAGAGCUUGCUCUUACGGGUGGCGAGUGGCGGACGGGUGAGGAAUACAUCGGAAUCUACUUUUUCGUGGGGGAUAACGUAGGGAAACUUACGCUAAUACCGCAUACGACCUACGGGUGAAAGCAGGGGAUCUUCGGACCUUGCGCGAUUGAAUGAGCCGAUGUCGGAUUAGCUAGUUGGCGGGGUAAAGGCCCACCAAGGCGACGAUCCGUAGCUGGUCUGGGAGGAUGAUCAGCCACACUGGAACUGAGACACGGUCCAGACUCCUACGGGAGGCAGCAGUGGGGAAUAUUGGACAAUGGGCGCAAGCCUGAUCCAGCCAUAUCGCGUGGGUGAAGAAGGCCUUCGGGUUGUAAAGCCCUUUUGUUGGGAAAGAAAAGCAGCAGGUUAAUACCCCGCUGUUCUGACGGUACCCAAAGAAUAAGCACCGGCUAACUUCG
rnacentral:rRNA from 1 species